rnacentral:rRNA from 1 species
UGACUNGAGUGCAGAAGGGGAGAGUGGAAUUCCAUGUGUAGCGGUGAAAUGCGUAGAUAUAUGGAGGAACACCAGUGGCGAAAGCGGCUCUCUGGUCUGUCACUGACGCUGAGGCUCGAAAGCGUGGGUAGCGAACAGGAUUAGAUACCCUGGUAGUNCACGCCGUAAACGAUGAGUGCUAGGUGUUAGGCCCUUCCGGGGCUUAGUGCCGGAGCUAACGCAAUAAGCACUCCGCCUGGGGAGUACGACCGCAAGGUUGAAACUCAAAGGAAUUGACGGGGGCCCGCACAAGCGGUGGAGCAUGUGGUUUAAUUCGAAGCAACGCGAAGAACCUUACCAGGUCUUGACAUCCCGAUGCUAUUCUUAGAGAUAGGAAGUUACUUCGGUACAUCGGAGACAGGUGGUGCAUGGUUGUCGUCAGCUCGUGUCGUGAGAUGUUGGGUUAAGUCCCGCAACGAGCGCAUCCCUUAUUGUUAGUUGCCAUCAUUAAGUUGGGCACUCUAGCGAGACUGCCGGUAAUAAACCGGAGGAAGGUGGGGAUGACGUCAAAUCAUCAUGCCCCUUAUGACCUGGGCUACACACGUGCUACAAUGGUCGGUACAACGAGUUGCGAGCCGGUGACGGCAAGCUAAUCUCUGAAAGCCGAUCUCAGUUCGGAUUGGAGGCUGCAACUCGCCUUCAUGAAGUCGGAACCGCUAGUAAUCGCGGAUCAGCACGCCGCGGUGAAUACGUUCCCGGGCCUUGUACACACCGCCCGUCACACCACGAGAGUUUGUAACACCCGAAGUCGGUGAGGUAACCUUUUAGGGGCCAGCCGCCUAAGGUG